GGAAAUGAAAUAAGCUUCAGUGGCAGAGAGAUUCCAAAACGAGCCGAGAGAUCACUCUGUGCAGAGGAAGACACCGAAUGCAUCAGUGUUCAUCAGAUGCAGGGUAAUAAAAAUUGGUAGACACCAAUAUUGUCGAGGAUGCAAAAACAGAUGCCAGUGUUGGGAACUGAAUUACGCCCCCCACAAAAGGCGUGCCCAGUCCUAACCCUUGGACUCCUUGUAAACAGGAUCCCCUCGAGAUGUGGCUUCAGUUAAGUUUCCUGGUUGGGCUUUAACCCACAUUGCUGGAGUCCUCUUUAAGCAGAGGGAAAGUCGGACGGAAGCCGGAAGUCCACGGAAACUGGAGCGAAAGGGGAAGACGUUACCAUGUGCAUUGCCAUGGGAAAGCCAGGGAACCCCAGAGAGUGCCAGAGCCAGAAGAUGCUGACCUUGGGAGGAAGCAGGCCUUCUGGCCUCCGAAACCGUAAGCCAACCCGUGGUCUAGUAUUUGUUUUAGCACCUGGGACACCGAAACAGCCAUCUUCAACAAUUUUUGUAAUUUGGGAAUUGAGCUGAGCCUGUGCGGUAUCCAGCUUUUUCUUUCUUUCUUUCUUUCUUUAACUUUAUUUAUCAAAAAAUUAAAAAACAAUUAAAAAAACAGUUCAAACAAAACAAAACAAAGGAAUAAGAAAAACAAAUAACAUAAAAUAACUACGUCAUUUCUAACAUGUUCCUACCAUGCCCCGAGAAAAUUAACAAACGCCAGCUUUUUUUUAAUGAAGCGUAAAGGCAGGUGAAUGAAGUAGUUUGCAUUUCUUUUGCUGAUUAAAAAAAUUGAGGAAUAGUCCUGAAUAAAUUUAGGUAUUAUUUUUUUUUUAAGUUCUUAUAAAAUAUCUGUCACUUUCAAAAAAUAAUUGAGAACACAAAAGGAACUGUUAAAAGUUAAUGUCCACCCAAACAUUUAAAAGUAGCUCUGUAGACAUUGCCAGAAGCUGUAUGUCAGUUUCCAGCUCUUCCCUGUUUUUUGUCCCCCCCCAGAUGCAAAGGAGAUUGCUCUGCCCUGUGGGAGUCUUGCUUUUCCCAACAAGCGUGAAAAAAAGUGCAAUAGCUGCCCCAGGAUUGUUGCUUUUGACAGCAUGUCCCAGGGGAGUAAUAUUCGAGGUGGCGGUUGGCCAAAAUAAGUAGGGAAGAAAAACUGCCAAGCGACACUACUUAUGCAAGUACUGUUGUUGCUAGAAAGCAGAAAGAGAGUUUUCACAUUAAAAUGAACUAGAAAUUCACUGGCUGGUGCUGAGGGAAAACUAGUUUUUGGGUGUGUAUGUGCAGGGGACAGGAUAAACAUUUGCAUAUUGUUAAAAUAAUAAUUUGAAAAUAGCUUUGUUUAUUUAAAUAUUGUUUUCCUUCAUGCUUUGGAAAUCAUAAGUUGUUAAUAAUACUUAAUCUUUGUCAAACCUGUAAAAAAUAACA